UACGAAGGGGGCUAGCGUUGCUCGGAAUCACUGGGCGUAAAGCGCACGUAGGCGGCUUUUUAAGUCAGGGGUGAAAUCCUGGAGCUCAACUCCAGAACUGCCUUUGAUACUGAGAAGCUUGAGUCCGGGAGAGGUGAGUGGAACUGCGAGUGUAGAGGUGAAAUUCGUAGAUAUUCGCAAGAACACCAAUGGCGAAGGCGGCUCACUGGCCCGGUACUGACGCUGAGGUGCGAAAGCGUGGGGAGCAAACAGG
rnacentral:rRNA from 1 species